CAUCAACGGUGGAAACCCGGUACAAAUCAUGUCGCGACUCUUUCCUUGUUUGACUUUAUGCCUUCAUGAAUCAUCUUGCAAAUUCGUACCUUAACAUCAUCCGCAAUUUAUUACUUCAGUUCGGUCAUUGUUGGUGAUGAUGAUGUCUACGCCGUAGAGGCUUUAGAACAACAGAAGAUUUCCACUGUAUUGUGGAUAACAGUGUGAGAUCCAGACCAGAAGUGUGGAGGAAGUCCUUAAAUCAACUGUAUUGCUUCCACAUUUUUCGGAUAAACAUGACAAGUAAUCAAUGGGUGGCUAGAAAGCUGCCACUGAAUGAAAUUAGAAAGCCGCUCCUGCGAUAGCUGUGGUUUUAGCCAAAAAUGUGCACCAUUUUUGGCUAGACUGCUGGCGGGGACAAAAAAUAUUCAGAGUUUAGGUAUCACCUAGCUGUUUAUGGCACUGAAAUGAAGUGGCAUGAGUUGUGCAUAUGAUUUUUAAUUCUGUGGAGAGCUUAAUUGGUACUGCAUCAGAAGCGAGGACUUCCAACUACAACCGUAAUCUUGACAUAGGAAUAGCUCAUUGGCAAUAUUAGGAGCGCAAAUUGACUUGGAAGAUACAUGUCAUGUUCUUUCUUUAUCAUUUGCACAAUAGUUUGAUGCGUGUCUUUGAAUCCUGAUGAGAAAAAUCGUGUUCUUUUAUUAUCAUAUGCAGUUGAGAGUACCCAUCUCACAUUAGUAUUUUCAGUUUGGCAUGGGGCUUUUUGUGUCGAUGUCUUACUGUUUUCUGUCUUAUUUCAACGAAUCUUGGGGAAAUUGGUCGACCACGCGAAUGUGAUGCUUCAGUGUCAUCUGGCUUGUGAUCCUGGUGGGAAUGAAAAUAGAUCAGAAUGCUUUCAAAGUACAUUGCAUGUCAUUAUGCGUCAUCAGUCACAGAGAAAGACUCUUAAUCCUUGACAUGACAUGAAUAUGUUCUUAGGCAAACAGAAAGUUAUACCAUUUUCCAAGUUCUAUUAAAGUUGGUUUCCUAGAGCAUUGGAUGUUUAUUAUGUGAUUCUUUCAUUUAUUCAUGCAUAAUAAAAUAGAACUUCAUUCAUUAUUAGCAAAAGUCCCACCCAAAAGCUUAAACUAUUAGUUAUAGGAAGACUCAAUGUAUAUAACCCCUGUUGAAACCCUUUAUUCAACCAGUGCGGAAUAAUACUUCAACGAUUGAUGAUCAUGGCAACUACUCAUGUCUAUGUGGUUUUGAUUGCAUUUUUAGUAGCUUAUGUCCACUUAUUCUGUCAUGGAUUAAUAAGCCACCAAAGACACCAUCAUAACAUUUUUUACUUUUCUCAGAUAUAGGACACUGAUGUUGAGAUGAUGAAAUUCCAUGGAUCUAUAUUCUACUUUGUUUGUCAAUUGAGAUGGUAAUGCAUAGGUUUCUCAAUCUGAAGGUGGAUUUAUGGCCUUGAUGCUGUCAAGAGUGACAUCCUGUACGGUGGAAAAACGGGUUACUGAAGUAUGACGAGGAAGAUAUGCAAGGAUAGGGGUGAUGCUACAUUUUGGAGACAUGAGUUCAGUCCAAUGGUUUUAUGUAGAAUCAAGCUGCACAAUUCACAUAUUCAGCUGCUUUCAGGACGGUUAUGAGAUAUAUUUUUCCUGGAAGCCUAAUUUGAAGGUUAAAAUCCUCUUAGACUAAGCCUCAAUUUGAAUGAUAUUGCCCAACAAUGCAGGUUGUGGUGAGAAGAUGCAGAGCUCUUACAUUGGUGUUUCCAUGUCCCAAUUGGGGUAUGAACAAGUUUGAUUGGUUCUCGAGAGGAUUCAACUUUAGAGAACUUAUGGAUGCAAAUGCUAACAAACAUAGAGGCUGUUUGUUUACCUGUGCCUACGAGUGGAGAUUGAACAUGGAAAUUGGGGAAGUUCAGGAGUCGAAUCUUAUGGGCACUGAAUUCUCUAUGGACUUCCCUUUCAUAAAUGCCAUUUUGACUGGCUUGCUUAACAAGUGUGGUUAUACUCAAGUCAUCAAUUCAAAGUCAAGCUCUAAAUGGGGAAUGGCUAAAUAUGGAAAUCUAGUGAAAUUAUACUUCGACGAACCUUGUCCUUGGUUGUUUGACUCUGAGAGAGGAAGAUGUCACAAGAAGUUGAUGAAGGUCUAGUACCAUAAUUUCGAAAAGGAUAGCUUCUGCAACGGGUGUAUUCUUGUCCCUAAGAAAGAUGGUGUCGGAGAGGACAGUGGUUGGAUUGUCUCUUGGGUACCUAAUGAAGAAACAGAUGUGUCCCAGAUUAAGUUCAAGAGUUUCAAUACAAUCAUCAUGUAGGUUUGCCUACCGGUGAUGAUGUUUGAUAUGAUUUUGAAAUUGUGAAAUCUACAGUCUCAGGAUUGAUGCACAGAAGUUUGAAGGCGAGCCAAUGGAAAAAUCACUCUGCCUUAAAGGGUACCCUAUGGAUUCCAUGGUUUUGUGCUAGCAUUUCCUGCUUAUCAGUAACUACAUCUGCCCUGGAAAAGUAAAGAGUUGAGAGACUGGCGACCGAACCACAUCGCUCUUUAAGCUACUGUACCCAAUAAAAGUCAAGCAUGUCUAUCCACAGACUCUACUAUAAGGCCAUUGGCUGGAAUUUUGCCUACUCAUCAAGUUCUAGAGUUAGCUUGUAAAUGUGGUCAAAGACAAAAGGCUAUGUGUACUCAAGUAAUUUAUAGGCUCUUUGACUAUAUCCAAGAUUUUUGUUGCAUGUAUAGAAAGGAGAGGUUUCGAUGCUUCUUGAAAAUGGAUCACUUCUUUUUAAAAGUUUCAUUUCGAAUGUAAAUAAAGCAGGCCACAAUAUUCAUGGCAGA